rnacentral:rRNA from 1 species
GACGAACGCUGGCGGCGUGCCUAAUACAUGCAAGUUGAGCGCUGAAGGUUGGUACUUGUACCGACUGGAUGAGCAGCGAACGGGUGAGUAACGCGUGGGGAAUCUGCCUUUGAGCGGGGGACAACAUUUGGAAACGAAUGCUAAUACCGCAUAAAAACUUUAAACACAAGUUUUAAGUUUGAAAGAUGCAAUUGCAUCACUCAAAGAUGAUCCCGCGUUGUAUUAGCUAGUUGGUGAGGUAAAGGCUCACCAAGGCGAUGAUACAUAGCCGAACUGAGAGGGUGAUCGGCCACAUUGGGACUGAGACACGGCCCAAACUCCUACGGGAGGCAGCAGUAGGGAAUCUUCGGCAAUGGACGAAAGUCUGACCGAGCAACGCCGCGUGAGUGAAGAAGGUUUUCGGAUCGUAAAACUCUGCUGGUAGAGAAGAACGUUGGUGGGAGUGGAAAGCGCAUCAAGUGACGGUAACUACCCAGAAAGGGACGGCUAACUACGUG